rnacentral:rRNA from 1 species
UGCUUAACACAUGCAAGUCGAACGCUGAAGCUUGGGUGCUUGCAUCUGGGUGGAUGAGUGGCGAACGGGUGAGUAAUACGUGAGUAACCUGCCCUUGACUCUGGGAUAAGCCUGGGAAACUGGGUCUAAUACUGGAUACUACACUCUCUCGCAUGGGGGUGUGUGGAAAGGGUUUUACUGGUUUUGGAUGGGCUCACGGCCUAUCAGCUUGUUGGUGGGGUAAUGGCCUACCAAGGCGACGACGGGUAGCCGGCCUGAGAGGGUGACCGGCCACACUGGGACUGAGACACGGCCCAGACUCCUACGGGAGGCAGCAGUGGGGAAUAUUGCACAAUGGGCGAAAGCCUGAUGCAGCGACGCCGCGUGAGGGAUGACGGCCUUCGGGUUGUAAACCUCUUUCAGCACGGAAGAAGCGAAAGUGACGGUACGUGCAGAAGAAGCGCCGGCUAACUACGUGCCAGCAGCCGCGGUAAUACGUAGGGCGCAAGCGUUGUCCGGAAUUAUUGGGCGUAAAGAGCUCGUAGGCGGUUUGUCGCGUCUGCUGUGAAAGCCCGGGGCUUAACCCCGUGGUGUGCAGUGGGUACGGGCAGACUAGAGUGCAGUAGGGGAGACUGGAAUUCCUGGUGUAGCGGUGAAAUGCGCAGAUAUCAGGAGGAACACCGAUGGCGAAGGCAGGUCUCUGGGCUGUUACUGACGCUGAGGAGCGAAAGCAUGGGGAGCGAACAGGAUUAGAUACCCUGGUAGUCCAUGCCGUAAACGUUGGGCACUAGGUGUGGGGGACAUUCCACGUUUUCCGCGCCGUAGCUAACGCAUUAAGUGCCCCGCCUGG